rnacentral:rRNA from 1 species
AUUGAACGCUGGCGGCAGGCCUAACACAUGCAAGUCGAGCGAGCGGCGGACGGGUGAGUAAUGUCUGGGAAACUGCCUGUUGGAGGGGGAUAACUACUGGAAACGGUCGCUAAUACCGCAUACCAUCAGAUGUGCCCCGAUGGGAUUAGCUAGGAGGUGGGGUAACGGCUCACGUAGGCGACGCUCCCUAGCUGGUAUGAGAGGAUGACCAGCCACACGGGAACUGAGACAAGGCCCAGACUCCUACGGGAGGCAGCAGUGGGGAAUAUUGCACAAUGGGCGCAAGCCUGAUGCAGCCAUGCCGCGUGUGUGAAGAAGGCCUUAGGGUUGUAAAGCACUGUCAGCGGGGAGGCGUUACCCGCAGAAGAAGCACCGGCUAACUCCGUGCCAGCAGCCGCGGUAAUAC